rnacentral:tRNA from 1 species
GCCCCGGUAGCUCAGUCGGUAGAGCAGAGGACUGAAAAUCCUCGUGUCGGCGGUUCGAUUCCGCCCUGAGGCACCA